CCUGAGACUAAAGUCACAUCCUGACAGCUCUUGUCCUGGUGUGCUAGAGUCCUCGGAGAGAAUCUGCUGGUCUUGAUUCACUGGCAAGGAAGUGCCCAGAUCAGAAACUUGC
ensembl:snoRNA